CCUGUUCAACUUAAAGGACUGAUGUGUACUAGAGACAUAUAAAUUAUUUAUGUUUCUGUUUGUACACAUUGCACCAACUCUUUCCGGGUUUAUCAAAGACAUCAGUACAACAUUCAAAAUCAGUAAAUAAAACUUGUGACACCAGUAAAAUAAAACUUUUACUACUCAGAAUGUCCUAUUCACUUUUCAACGAUAUCUAAUUAUUUGUUUACCAGAAAAGGUUUUUGGGACCAGUAAAUUAAAGCUAUAUUCAUGCAUGGCAGUGAAACAUCUUUCAAUAGGUGAAAAAAUAAUGGGUUUUGGGGUUUCUUCAUAAAAUAUGCAUUGAUUAGAUAUAAGGAGAUGUAGUAUGAGUGCCAAUAAGACAACUCUCCAUCCAAGUCAAGAUUUAUAAAAGUAAACCAUCAUAGGUCAAAGUACGAUCUUCAACACGAAGCCUUGGCUCACACCGAAGAGCAAGCUAUAAAGGGCCCCAUAAAUUACUAGUGUAAAACCAUUCAAACGGGAAAACCAACGGUCUAAUCUAUAUAAAAAAGGAGAAACGAGAAACACUUAUGAACCACAUCAACAAACGACAACUACUUAACAUCAGAUUCCUGACUUAGGACAGGUGUAUAAUGCAGCGGGUUUAAACGUUUUAAUAGGUACCAACCUUCACCCUUAUCUGGAACAAUAGUGUAACAUCACAACAUAGAAAGACACACUAUAAAAUAUCAAUUGAAAUGGCUUAACUCAAUCAAAAGACAUAUUAACGCCAGUGAACAUACACUGAACAAAUAUAUUUGAUCUAUGAUACAAUAAAAAUACAAAAUAAAUAAACUAAGGGAAGAAUAUUUAAAGUAACAUGUUAUACCGCUGUGAAAUGUUAAACAAUUUAAGAAAAACAAUAUGCUUGAACAAAAAUAUCAGCCAUUUGCAAUUACUUUAAACACAGGUAAAUGAAAAUAAUUUUGUUGUUAGGUAUACGUGUGCAGUUCAAAUAGAGAAAGGAAAUAUUUUUACAAAAUAAAUAAUUUUCAUGUUCAUAGUACGAAGAAGUGAAAAUUCAUAGUAAUAACUAACACUUAUCAAAGCUGGUAUAUAGACCAGAUAUAACCCUGAUUAACACAAAUAUCAAAAAAGUAUUACAAUUAGUAUCAACAGGUCAAAUAAACAAGAAAGUACGAUUUGAGAGUACUCGCAGUUACCGACAGCUAGUUAAAAGCCAAAAACAAUUAAUAAUAAAAAAUCAUGCAUCAGAGACUAAAAUCAACUAAAACACAUCCCAGGGAUUUCUUUUUUCAACGUCAUGGACAGUCAAAGAAGACAUGACUUGUGCAAUGCCAAAAAUAAAUGUAUCGACAGGCAGUAGGAUAGUUAGGAGUUAACCUCUUUAUAGAUCAAAAUGAACGUGGGUGUGUCAUUAUACAUCCCGUUUGAAAAGAAUACAAAUUUAGUUAUGUUUUAAUUUGCUGAUGACAAAAUCGAUAUUAGUGCCAAUGUAAACUAUAUUCAAAGAUCUAAUUACAACAUUGGUAAGAUAGCCUUUACUAAUAAGUUAGUUUAAAGGUUCGAUGAGUUUACACGGAACAAAUAGUGAUUUCCGCGCUUUAAGUACAAUAUUACCGUGAAAUUUAGGAUGUGAAAUACCGUUUUUAAUCAGUUUUCUACAGGUACAGCCAUAUUUACUAAUCAAAUCUUUGUAUCUAUGAUAGUAAAAGUUUUACGUAAAUUAUGUAAACAAAAUCCCUGACUUAAUAAUUUACCAGUGAUGCUUUGAUUACGUUCGUUAAAAUCUAUGACAUCACUACACACACGGGCAUAACGAACGAGUUGGGAUAUAUAAACACCGUAUGAUAGAGCCAAAGGACCAUCGCCAUCUAAAAAGGGAAAAUUAACAAUAGGGAGUGAAAAGUCGUCUCUUUUGUCGUAAAUUUUAGUAUGGAGUUUUCCUUUAGAGAUUGAAAUGUCCAAAUCUAGAAAAGGACAACUACUGCUGUUUAUGUUAGAUUUAGCUAAAGUAAGUUCUUUUGGGUAAAUGUCGGUAGUAUAUUUAGAGAACUCUGGAUUAUUUAACGAAAAAAUAUCAUCUAGAUAACGGAAGGCAUUGUUGAAUAUAUCAACCAAAUGUAACAAUGACGUGUCUUUACUGAGUUUGGUCAUAAACUGAGAUUCAUAGCAAUACUGGAGUAAAUCUGCUAUUAAAGGGGCGCAGUUAGUGCCCAUAGGAAUACCUACUACUUGUCGGUACACUUUAUCGCCGAAACGUACAUAUAUGUUGUCCAGGAAAAAUUUAAAGCUUCAAUUAUAUCUUCGCAUUUCCAGUAAGUGUAUCUAGCAUACUUUCCUUUUUCGUUACAGAAAAAGGCUUUAAACGAGUUACAGCAAAUAAAUUUGUAAUGAGAUUUUUCAAAAGACUUUUUCUUGAUAAGAUUGUGUGGAAGUGUAGUAUAGAGAGUAGAAAAAUCAUAACUGUCAACAGAAUUAAAAGGACCAUCAAAAGCAUGUAUUUUAUCUAAAACCUCUAAAGAAUUUUUAACACUCAAAAAAUAAUUAAUACCAUUAUUUUCAUAAGCUUUAUUACAAAAGUUAAUAACAAGUUCUUUGAUAGUAUUAAGGGAGGUAGUUAGAAGCACUGAUAGAUUGAUAGUAGAACACUUACUAGAUGCGGAGAUGAAACGGAAUUUAAAUGGUUUUUUGUGCAAUUUAGGUAACCAGUACAUAGUAGGGACUUUCAAAUGUUUGGAAGAGGCUUUAAGCUGGGUAGUGGCAGUGAUAUGCUUGUUUACAAUUUGACUCUCUGUGGAGCGUACGGACCUAAAUGUAGAUGAAUUUGUACUUUCGUUUUGGAGAACUUCCGUGUAGUAUAUGCGUCACACCACCACUACAUUAUUUGCAGCUUUAUUUGCCGGUACGAACAGAAACCGCUUUGCGAGUUCUUGGAGUUUAUUUUUUAUUCUAGAAAUGGGAAUAUCAUGGACCCUAUUACUAAUUUCAGAAUUGUUUUCAAAACGAGAUAUACGAAUAUUAACAGUAUUCAUAAAUUUAUUCAAAUAACUGUCUAGAGAUUUUUUAUCAGAUUUUUGCACGUUUACACCAAUGUUUACAGUAGACUGACGUCUUUAAUGACCUGACGAAACUGUUUCCAAUCUAUUUUAGAUGGAGGACGAUAUUUCAGUCCUUUCUUUAGAAAAGUUAUGACCUCAAGGUCUUCGACGAUGUUGUGGUCUCCUGUUAGGACAUGACCAUAGGGAACAUAUCUAAAACUAGAUGUUUCACAGUCUCAAGUGGAAGGAACAUUAUUUUCUAUAUUGACGUCUGAUGUAACUGACGUAUAAUUAAAAAUCAAACUUCUGCUGGUUUUUUUUUUAUAAAAAUACGAAAUAAUAGGUGGUUCUAUAUUAUCAAAAUAUGGAGGUAUUUGGCUUUGGGUGGUAGAGUCAAUGAAUAUACUAGAUAAGUUAAUAAAAUCAAUACCUCUAUUUAUAUAUUUUAAUUUAAGAAAAUGUCGUUUAUGAUUUUCAGGUUAAUCGAUACUAGGAAAUAGCCUAUGAUGACAAAAGGCUGUAAUAAUACGGGUGUAUUCAUACAUUUGGCUAAAAAAAUUUUUUUAUCACACUCCAGAAAAAUAGCAUAUAAUUUAUUUAUUGGUAUCUGACCUAGUUUGCAUAAUACUUGAUGUCUGCCAUUAUUUUUUAUUAUAGAUAACAGAUCAGCAAGUGUAUAAUUUAUACGUUGUUUAAUACGCUGCUUACGUUUUUUGCGUUUACCAUGAGACCUUUUAUUUCUAAGUCGUAUAUCGACAAUAUUAAUGACAUCGAUUGAAGUUUUAGUUAUGUUCCCCUGUCCUAAUAUUUUGUCAUUAAGACCGAUAGGAUAAGCUGUUUGAAGUCUUUUUAUCCAAAAUAAUUCGCGAACUUCACGUGAUUUUUCAAAUUGCUUGUGUGAUUCUCCUGGUUGUGUCUGAACGGUUUCAAUUGGUUGGAAUUUUAUUAAUUUUAGAUUAUGAGUAUGCUUAUCUAAAUGUUGAUAUAUCAAACUUUUGAAUUUUUUAGGUCUACGAAAGUGGUAAAGGUGUUCUUGAUUUCUGUUGUGAUACUCUCGUCCCACAUAUUGAAUAAAAUUGAGAAUGGAAAUGGGGAAUGUGUCAAAGAGACAACAACCCGACCAUAGAGCAGAAAACAGCCGAAGGCCACCAAAUACCAUACUUAGGUUGGGUUCAAGUUACCACAUAUAUAAGGUUUUGAGUUUUUCAGGUAAUGUCACAGGAAAAGGAGAGCGAAAAAGCUCUCCCGUUCACUGUUGACCUUACAGUAUUUUGUGAAGUUAAUCUAAAACAGGUUUGUCACUUUUUGGCAUUGCAGAGGAAAAUUUGUGGAUAUCCAAUUGCAUUUUUGUUAAACAAUCUGGCUGUAGAGGCAUAACAAAUACGUUUGUUUAAGCACGUGGAUAUCCUAGAAGUUGUGUUGUUAAUAAUUUUCUUUCCAUAACGUAAAAUCAUAAUAAUUAAAUAGAGGUAUAGGAAAAAUAAAAAAGACCGGAGGUUGUAACAAUGAAUAAGGAUCACAAUUACGGAAUAGGAAAUAAUAGACAAAGCAGUAAAAGAACUCUUACAAAAACUGUUAUAAAAGGCCCGACGUAAAGACUUCAGUAUUACAACACUGACAUAUAACAAACACAGAGCAAAAACAGAGAUUGUAAGAAAUCUUAGUAAAACCAUAGCAGGGGGCAAUAAUAAAAAUAGCAGGCGUGGAUGAGUAUUUAUACAUCCAAACACCAUAAUAUAUAAUUAACAAUUAAGAACAAAGAUAUAAUAAACAUGUGAAAGCUCUCUCACAGGCAAACAACCCAUAAUUGAAAAAUAUAAGGGCAUCCACCAUUUGGGUCUUCUUUCUACUAAAAUGUCUAAAUGGUGUUAUGUCAAAAACUAGUAAAAAUCAUAUCGACAUUGUCAGUGUCUGAUUCAAAAGAGUUUUAGAAUGGCUGGGGUUUUUAUUGCUAAACAGAGACUUUGACUUUUCUACGUGUAUUUAUAUAAUCCCUUUUACACAACUGUAAGAUAACUUCUUAAACUGUAGUUUAAAACAACAGAAGUGAAAUUAGACAUCAUAUUUAAUUUCAUUUAAUACUGAUUACUAGUGUGCCUUUAGCAACUACUAGGACUAUGUGAUACUUCAAAUUAAAGAAUGAUUAAACAAAAUCAUAAAUACAAAAUAGACGUCCCAUGUAUAUAGGGAUUAUAGAGUUAUUAUUGUUUACAGAACAAAAUUGGACAGUUUUACUAAAAUGGAGGGUUUAAGGUGGUACCAAACAUCUUGACUAAAAUUAAUUUGGCUCGUUUAAUUUUCAUAAAAUUUUGACAAAAUAUUUACUUUGACCCUUUGACAAAAAUAUAAAAAUUUCAAAAAACUUGAACCACACACUUUAUCGGAAAAAAAU